CUAGGAUGUUGGCUUGGAAGCAGCCAUUCAUUUAAAGAGUGCGUAACAGCUCACUGGUCGAGCGGUUCUGCAUGGAGAAUAAGCGGGCAUAAGCGUAUUACCGAAGCUAUGGCAGAUAACAAUCUGGGUAGGGGAGCAUUCCGUACAGCGCAGAAUCGGUAUUGUAAAGUACCGUGGAGCGUACGGAAAAGCAAAUGUAGGAAUAAGUAACGAUAAAGCGGGCGAGAAACCCGCUCACCGAAAGACCAAGGGUUCCCCGGCUAUGUUAAUCAGCCGGGGGUCAGUCGGGCCCUAAGGACAAGCCGAAAACAGGCUACUCCGAUGGACAAACGUUUAAUAUUACGUUACUCGUAUCGAGUGCGACGGGGCGACCUGGUAAUACCUCUUCGCGUGCUGACGGAAUAGCACGUUAAAGACUUUACUGGGCCGGGAGGCAAAUCCCCCGGCGGAAAGGUAAAGUUGAUAGUACACCCAAGCUACGGCGACGGUGAUAGCAAGACUAAAGAUCAGCAAGAAAAACCUCUAAGCUUCAGCUCGAUACGACCCGUACCGGAAACCGACACAGGUGGUCGAGAAGAGAAUUCUAAGGUGCUCGAGAGAUUCAUGGCUAAGGAACUAGGCAAAAUAGACCUGUAACUUCGGGAAAAAGGUCACCGCAGCAAUGCGGUCUCAGAAAAUAGGUCCAGGCGACUGUUUAACAAAAACACAGGACUUUGCAAAAUCGAAAGAUGACGUAUAAGGUCUGACACCUGCCCGGUGCUGGAAGGUUAAGAGGAGAUGUCCGCAGCAAUGCAAAGCAUUGAAUUGAAGCCCCAGUAAACGGCGGCCGUAACUAUAACGGUCCUAAGGUAGCGAAAUUCCUUGUCGGGUAAGUUCCGACCUGCACGAAUGGUGUAACGAUCUGGACACUGUCUCAGCCAUGAGCUCGGUGAAAUUGUAGUAUCGGUGAAGAUGCCGAUUACCCGCUGCGGGACGAAAAGACCCCGUGAACCUUCACUACAACUUAAUAUUGUUUUCGGGUAAGUCAUGCGUAGGAUAGGUGGGAGGCUGCGAAGCGGUUACUCCGGUAGUCGUGGAGCCACUGUUGAAAUACCACCCUUGACUUAUUUGGGAACUAACUCCGCGGAAUGCGGAGGACACUAUUUGGUGGGUAGUUUGACUGGGGUGGUCGCCUCCAAAAUAGUAACGGAGGCUUCCAAAGCUGCCCUCAGCACGCUUGGUCAUCGUGCGUAGAGUGCAUUAGCAAAAGGGCGGUUGACUGCAAGACCUACAAGUCGAGCAGGUGCGAAAGCAGGGUAAAGUGAUCCGGUGGUUCCGCGUGGAAGGGCCAUCGCUCAAAGGAUAAAAGGUACUCCGGGGAUAACAGGCUGAUCUCCCCCAAGAGUUCACAUCGACGGGGGG
rnacentral:rRNA from 1 species